GGCAAACGACUUUUAGACUUGAGUCAGGGUUCGUUGGCCCGAACCCAGGGUCCCAACAAAAUAUAUAUUCGUGAAGUGAUACACAAGAAGCUGCAGAAUCGACGCGGGAAACGAAGUCGAGGAAGUGGCGUAGAUACAGCGCGUGCGCGAGAAAAAUUUCAACCGAUUCGAGUUUAUACCACUCUUCACUUAUCAAACGAGCAACAAAACAUUCGUUGAUUAUUGCGCAGCAGUUCAAUAUCAAAGGUUUUAAAAGAAUAAAAAUGUGGAAUCGUUGUUAAGACCUGAAUCUUGAAACGCAUUAACGAUGUGAAUUUUUUUCAAAUUUGACAUGCAUUUGAUAAAAUAUAACAAGGAGUAGGAUAGGAACUUUACAUACGUGACGAUUCCUACAUCAUACAGAACGUUUUUUAAUCCCAGAAAAGUACAGAAAAUAUCGUUGUUAUUUUCUUAAAUAUACAAAUAGAUUGAUAAAAAUGAACACCUUGUAUAUGAGUGGAGGUUCUGUUUAUACAUGAAGCAUGAUGGCGAGGCUUGCACGUGAGAGAGUCAAAUCGAGGACGAAGACGAUUGAAAUGAGGAAAAGUAACGGGGCGAAUAACGGGUUGAAUUUAACGCAUCUUGCCGUUACGAGCACAUUUGUAAGCCUAGUUGUUAGGUUACAGUGGAUCAUGUAACUUCACGAUCGAAUGCAUAUUAAUAAUGCACACUUGUCUCAGUGUUGUUCACAUCUAUUACCGGUUUGCAGACGGACAGACGAUUUACAUGAGAUCGUAAACAAGAUAAAUGUCGAUUUGUUCCAUAAUAUUUUUAUUUUUAUUCGGCGAAUUUUUAGUGGCCUUGCUUUCGAUAAACAAGCUUGACGCUAUCUCUCCUUGCUAUCGUUAGCGAUGACGUUGUGCGUCUUCUCUAGAAUCUUAAAUAUGUCUACGCCAGAGAAAAUGAAGUAGUCAUUGAGUUUCCAAGAACAUUGUUACUUUAUUCCAAGAAAUUUGUGACACUACAAUUUGUAUGAACGAGUUGAUGUAAUAGGAUCUCCGGAAUCCCGUUACCCAUCACGUUUAAGAUAAGAUACAUUUUUAUUAUGACCUUUGAUUAUUUUCUUAAAAGAACAAAAAGAACUGAAUUCGGAACUUAAUCUACAACAUUGUUUCUAAAUGUAAUCUGAAGGAGUGAAAACAAUAUUAAUAAACGGGAACAUUAGCAAAAAUUGAAAUAUUCACGUUUGUUACAAGUAUCUUCUUGCAACAUUAUACCUUUUGUCGUUUUACUAAAAUAUAAAAAUGAAUAAAAUUUUUGUUCCCUCUU